rnacentral:misc_RNA from 1 species
CGCAGUGACCGGCUCGCCCCCAAAAUCACGGGGUCUCUGGUGCCUCCAGCGCUGGUGUUGUCGGACCUCGCCUCAGUCCUGUCCGGGGCGCUUUUCGUCGUCGGGGUCGAUACCGGGCUCACUCACCUUGCCGGUGCGCUGGGCGUCGCGACAGUCGGUGUCUUCAACUCGACGGAUCCGGCCUCGACGGGCCUUUUCGGGUGCGUUCGGGCCGCGAAUGUCGGGCACGUUGCGGCUUCUCCGUCAGCGGAUGAAGUGCUGCGUGCGCUCGAGCGGCUGCCGGCAUGAGCAUCGCGCGCAUCGCUUACACCGCAGUGAUUUACGCGCUCGUGCCGCGCGCGCUCGCGCACCUGGCAUGGCGCGGGCGGCGUGAGCCCAUGUAUCACGA